CGGAAAACUGGGGAUAUCCCCGAUAGAUCUCGGUCGCUGGUAUGCCCCGAGAUCGAAAGCUCCGGCGCCAGAGGAUGGGUCUGCGGCCUAUCAGGUAGUAGUGGGUGUAGCGUACCUACUAGCCUACGACGGGUACGGGUUGUGAGAGCAAGAGCCCGGAGAUGGAUUCUGAGACACGAAUCCAGGCCCUACGGGGUGCAGCAGGCGCGAAAACUUUACAAUGCCGGCAACGGCGAUAAGGGGACCUCGAGUGCCAGGUUACAAAUCUGGCUGUCGUGAUGCCUAAAAAGCAUUGCAUAGCAAGGGCCGGGCAAGACCGGUGCCAGCCGCCGCGGUAAUA
rnacentral:rRNA from 1 species